CUGGAACCGGUGUGGUGGGUAAUAGCUCCGGCGGCCUAGGAUAGCUCUGCGGCCUAUCAGUUGUAGCGAGGGGUAACGUCCUCGCUAGCCUACGACGGGUAUGGGUGUUGGGAGACAUCGCCCAGAGAUGGAUUCUGAGACACGAAUCCAGGCCCUACGGGGCGCAGCAGGCGCGAAAACUGCACAAUGUGGGAAACCACGAUGCGGGAAGCCCAAGUGCCAGCGCUAUGCGUUGGCUGUCCUCAACCGUUCAUUGGUUGGGAAGAAAGUGCUGGGUAAGACGGGUGCCAGCCGCCGCGGUAAUACCCGCAGCACGAGUGGUGGUCAUUAUUAUUGGGCCUAAAGCGUCCGUAAAAAGUUUGUUAAAUGCCUGGGUAAAUCGAUGCGCUUAACGCAUCGAAUUCCGGGUAGACUGGCAAACUCGAGACCGGGAGAGGCGUAGGCUACUCGAGGGGUAGGGGUAAAAUCCUGUAAUCCUUCGGGGAGGACCAGUGGCGAAGGCGCUACACUAGAACGGCUCUGACUGUGAGGGACGAAGCCCUGGGGCGCAAACCGGAUUAGAUACCCGGGUAGUCCAGGGUGUAAACGCUGCGGACUUGG
rnacentral:rRNA from 1 species